GUCAGGAUGGCCGAGUGGUCUAAGGCGCCAGACCUCAAGGGUGAUAACCUUCUCUCGAAUCCAGCGAGAGUCUAUUGGGUGUUCUGGUCUCUGUAUAGAGGCGUGGGUUCGAACCCCACUCCUGACA
rnacentral:tRNA from 1 species